rnacentral:hammerhead_ribozyme from 1 species
AUUCAGCUAACGAGUCCGAAAUAGGACGAAACGUGCGUCCUGGAU